CAGAAAAUAUAAAAAUCUAAUCUGAUUCAAAAUAUUAUCAAAAACUAUAAUAGUAUUAAGUAAAAAUAGUGAUAUUCAUUUCCCAGAAAAGUCACAAGAUGAAAAAGCUGAAACUGUAAAGGGGAGAUAUAUAAACAAGAGGAUGACUAAAAAUUGUUUGUAGCUGUAACAUUGUUUGUGGCUCUUAAAAAAAAUUAUUUGCCAUCUGUUUUUUCCCCCUAUAGGAGCCAAUGUCUCCUAUUGAAUUUUUUGUCUGGAGCCCUGCAGUCUCAAACCCGCGUUUUGAAAUCGCUGGUGUCUGUGACAUCACAGACUACCUUGUAACCAAUCAAGACAACGUGUCAGUGGGCUUUAGCGUAUCAUUAACCAUGAGCGCUCUUAAGCAGGAGAGUCUCGAGAGAAGCCAAGUUAUCCCGAAAAUUUGUGGAGAGGCAUAAGACUAAUAUCACCAACUGCAUUCAGAAUUCAUUAGAAGUGCAUACUUUGAUUUGAUGUUCCAUAACUGAAGACUCCCUUGACUGCUUCCAAACAGGAUUUUGUUCAGAAAUAAGAUGAUCUCCAAAAGGCAACAUUAAGUGCACAUCAGCUUGAUGGCCUGUGUAUGUGUGAACAACCUGGAUGGAAGAGACAGCAAAAUAUUACCUCUGACUAAUUCUUGUUUCAAAGUCUCUUUAAUGUUAUGCAUCUUUAAAGGUGAAGUAUGUAGUUUCUGGCACCUAGCAGAAUUACAAAAAAGUUGCCCUUUCGUGAGUCGCGCCUCUCCUACUCAUAUCACAAACAGCUCUUACGGGUACAUGUGAAGGCAUGUCUCAACAGGUAAAAGCAGGUUACUUUUAAUAAAAGGUUAAAAAUAUUAGGAAAACAUUUAGCUGUGUUGCUAUGUGUCAUGAGAAAGCAAACGUGUAGGCUAAUACUCUCUCUAGAGCGCAUGUGAAUGUCUCGAUUAUAAUAAACCACCCAACGUAUCUGCACCGGGCACAUUUUACACUGGACACGUCAAAGUAAAUAUUAAACUGAUAGAUUUGUCUUUCUCGGAAUGAUGAUGCUGUAUGGUAUUAUUGAAACAUUCUUUGCAGCGCAUUGCUUUAUUUGUUUUGACGCAUUCAUGAACUGUGUCAUUUUUGAAGAUGCAGUGAACUUUGGCUUGCACUUUUGUAACUGAAGCUGAAUGUCUUUUCCCAUGUACUGCUUCAGUCAUGGUCCCACAUUGGUUAAACACUCUCUGGCUCCGCCUACUACAAUAGCCAUGCCCCAAACUCUCGCUUUAGGACGAGCAGGAAAGUGAUACGAGCAGACGACUCUAUAUAUUUUGAUGGUGCCUGGGAGGCUCAAUGUUUACACUUUUGUGGGAGAUAAAUCCAUGAAUGGCAUACCAAUAAUAGUCAGUGAACAAUAAACUGGGUUAAGACUAAUUAUAAUCUUACAUACUUCACCUUUAAGAGCACAGUAACUGUGAACCUUUUUUCUUUACCUCUUUGUUUUUUGC